rnacentral:rRNA from 1 species
UACGUAGGUGGCAAGCGUUGUCCGGAUUUAUUGGGUUUAAAGGGUGCGUAGGCGGUUCUGUAAGUCAGUGGUGAAAUACUCCAGCUUAACUGGAGGGGUGCCAAUGAUACUGCAGAACUUGAGUACAGAUGAGGUAGGCGGAAUUGACGGUGUAGCGGUGAAAUGCAUAGAUAUCGUCAAGAACACCUAUAGCGAAGGCAGCUUACUGGGCUGUAACUGACGCUGAGGCACGAAAGUGUGGGGAGCAAACAGG